rnacentral:misc_RNA from 1 species
GUAGGUGAACCUGCGGAAGGAUCAUUAAAAAAGGGUCAUUAGACCCAUUUUAAAACCUACCACCACCUAUCAUUUGUGGCCUGUCUAUGGGUGAGAUGGAGGAGGUAUGGUUUUUUAAAAUCCAAUUAUUAUAUAUAUAUCGUCUAACGACGAAACAAAAAAAUUCUAAAAACUUUCAACAAUGGAUCUCUUGGCUCUCGCAUCG